rnacentral:lncRNA from 1 species
AAAUUGAUCACUAUAUACUAAUCUCGACAAAGCUUCAGAGUGAAACACCUCAAAAUAAUAAUAGUCUGACAUCCAUACAAAGUCCUAUUUUCUCUUAGUUACAUAUAUGUCAGUGACAUCGACAAUAUAAUUAAAGGAUGGUGUAUCUGAUGCGACUAAACAGAUAGAUUAAUCAAUGGCAUGUCGAAAGUUGCAAUGCUCUCAGUGGAUGGAUGGGCUCCUUCAACCGUUGGUGCAUUUGAUAUUCGCAAUUCUUGCGCCCUGUGUAUUUGUAUAGGAAAAAAGAUUAGUGGAAGUACUCAAUAUAUGGAACGAAAAUACAACCAUGACCUUUCUCUUCAGAUCAAUAUAAAUGAAAAUUUUGUAUAAAUAACAGUCCAAGACACUACAAAUACUAUUUGGUGAGCCAUGUGGCCACACUUGCUCAUGUACAUGACAAACUUAACUAUAUAAAAACUAUGCAAAGAUGAGUAUACAUUAUUCUUACCAAGGAAGAAGCUACAAAAUCAAUGUCAACUUUAGUUGGUUCAAUGCAUGUACAUAAAUCACCAACACUUAUGUUCAUAGCAGCAUUUGUCUCUCGCUAAAUCUGAUGAACAAGAAGAUAGACAUACUUGAGGACUAAAUUAAAGAUGCAACAUAAAGGGUAAUAUUAUGAUAAAUUUGUACAUAGCCAGAUACGAUGCAGCAAUGUCUUAUGCUCAUGACAAAUAGCUGUAGAGGUUUAGAAUAAGAAUGCAAAUAGAGUAGGACCCAUUUGGCAAGAAAUCCCAUAAAAUGGAAGAGCUAUUUAUUCUAAAAUAAUGCACGAAAAAGAUAAUUUUAGAAUGAAAGGACCAUACAAUUUGAACAACCAUUCAAGUACAUUAAGAAUCGAGGGAAUGUUUAUUCUAAAUAAUAAUGUAAGAAGAUGACGCC